GGCUGUGCCCACCAUAGGGAUGUAUCUGCCCAUCACUCCUCACUUCCUUGCCCAUGGGGUUGGUGCCAGCACUGAUGCACCCAGAUUAUCUCUGAGCCAGCGCCGUGCUCAGUGCCAGGGCUGCCUCGGGACUGUUGUCCUCAUGCCUAUGGAAGCCACUGGAUCCAAGGGACGGGAAGCACGAGGAUGCCCUGGCUCAGAUGCCGGUGGCACUCACUGUGCCCUGUUGGGGUGAGGAUUGCAGCCGGGGCCUUCCCAAAAAAGGCCCUAACUCUGGGUUGCGUUUGCCACUUCCCUCACCACUCCCUUUCCUGUGAGAGGAUGUGCUCGGGGCCUUUCUCUUUCUCUCUCCUCUCCCGGCUCCCUGCCCUCGGAGCAGGGGAUGCUGUGCUCGCCCUGAGCCGGCCGGGGUCGCCCUGGCUGGCACCGGCCACCACGGCAUGGCCAAGGUGCAGGCUCCAUCCAGGAGGCCGCAGGGACCAUAGCCAGGGGCUCACCCGAGGGCCACGAGGAGCCCAGAGCAGCAGAAGAGCCCCUGGAGCACGACCCAAGCCCGUCCACUGUGUAUGAGGCUGGGACGCAGUACACAGGACCCGCGUCCGCAGAGACUCCCCUUCCGAUGUCCCGGCAUGAGGCUUCUCCGACAACGGUGCAACCGGCCAACCACCACCGCCCCAAUGCCUGCUGCUUCUGCUGGUGCUGCUGCUGCAGCUGCUCAUGGUACGUCCCUCUUGGGGCCAUGGGAUGCAGGGGUCACCGUGUGCUGCUCGGCCUCCAUCCUUUGUGCAGCACUGGAUGUGGCUGCUGCACCAGUGGGGCUGGG
rnacentral:lncRNA from 14 species